GCCGCCUUAGCUCAGUAGGUAGAGCAACGCACUCGUAAUGCGUAGGUCGGGGGUUCGACUCCCCCAGGCGGCUCCC
rnacentral:tRNA from 6 species